ACAAUGGCAUGCUCCAAGUUGGCUCAGGCUGGUCAAAGAAAGGUGGACAGGGAAAACCGACGUUUCAAGGAAGAAUGGACAGAGCAAUAUGUUUUCAUCCUACCUACUGGCCAUCACACCUUUUGUGCCAAAGUUCAAAGUCUUGGUUUCAACCCCAAGAGCCCAAUUCUCCCAUUGAGCAGCUGUGUUUUACACAAUGGGGAUGUACUGUACCAUAGUUAUAUUUGCACAUGAAUGAGAUCUGUUGAGGUCAUUUGUUUACCAGGGAUAGGAGGGUUGUGUUUAAAAGUAUUUAUUUUUUGUUAAAACUGAAAGUUGUAUUUAAGUUCUUAUUUAUUUUUGUUUCAAAGAAAAUCUUUCAUGUAUUUUAUUGGAUAUUAAUUUUAUUUUUGUUAAUUUUAAGAAAAUGUUAAACUACUACCUACCUCCUGCUUCUAUAUAAGCUUGGCCGAUAAUAAACGGACCCAGCCUGUUUCAAAAUAACAUUUGUGGACCUUCAAGAUUUGUACUUGAGGACCCCUGAUAUAAGCUAAAAACAUGGAUGCAAACAAUAUAUUUAUUCGCCCUGGGUAGUUGUUUACAAUUUUCAUUCUCUGUGAGUUUGCAUUCCUGCGAUAGGUACUCAACAAUUGUUGAUUUCACAUUACUGAUGGAUGUGAUAGAAAUUCAAUGAACUGCUUUGACCAAACAACAUUAUAUGGUGCGUUUUUGGAGGUUCUUGUUUUGCGAUGACCAAACUAAUACAACUUUUUUUAUUGUGCAGAUAAUUGUCCGUGAUCGGAUUUGUCAUCAAUAUGGACGCACUGAUGCUGAUGAUUCCAGAACUGCUCCAAGUAUAUCGCUAUGUGCUCACCUACAGGUUAAUCCAGGAUCCCAUGGAGCUCAAUUUAAUUGAGGCUGUCACGGCGCAGGCUCAAACUCGCUUUUCCCCGGCACCUGCGCUGGCAGCGCGCCGAGACACACCCCUGCUCGCGCUGGCCAGGGCGAUCAGCAAUCUGCACACCUGGGACUGAUGAGGGCAAGCGGUAUAAAGGACCAGUGGACCCAAGGAUCCUGGCGGGAACUUAGUUCUCUAUGGUGUAGCUGUUUUCCUUCCGUCGCCUUGGUUUCGAGCUGUGUGUUUUGCUCCCUUGGACUUCCUCCCCCUGGAUCUCGACUGCCUUCCUGGAUCUCGACCCCCUCGCAUGGACAUGGACUCUGACGCCUCUCUCUCUCGCCCUGGAUCAUUUGCCUGCUCCACGGACUGCCCCUCCUGCUUUGUCCCUCCUCUCGCUUGACUCAGCACUUGGUAACACACACUUCAGCUAACCAUACACAGCCACACACACACUCUUUGGUUUUGUCACACACACCAUUCUACAGAUUUAGUUAGUAUUGUUUAUUAUUAUA